UACAGAGGGUGCGAGCGUUAAUCGGAAUUACUGGGCGUAAAGCGUGCGUAGACGGUUAUGUAAGUCGGGUGUGAAAGCCCCGGGCUCAACCUGGGAAUUGCAUUCGAGACUGCAUAGCUAGGAUGCGGAAGAGGGAAGCGGAAUUUCCGGUGUAGCGGUGAAAUGCGUAGAUAUCGGAAGGAACAUCAGUGGCGAAAGCGGCUUCCUGGUCCAGCAUCGACGUUCAGGCACGAAAGCGUGGGGAGCAAACAGG
rnacentral:rRNA from 1 species